ensembl:processed_transcript A530058N18Rik RIKEN cDNA A530058N18 gene
CGGCCGCGCGCCGCGGGGGGAGGAGACGGUCUGGAGUCCCCCCGCUGCGCCGGAGAUGGGGAGACGGAGAACUGCAGCGCCCCUUGGGGCUUCUGAGGCGCCCAGGUAACCUCACCUGGCCGCCAGUCUCCCGCAGGAGGAACAGACACAUUGGCCUGUGUCAAGGUGGAAACAUCAGGGCAGAAGAACAUAACUGAUAAUAGCUGGUCACACCUAAGAAGCCAGGAAGCAGAGAGAAAUGGAGACCAGCCUACGAGGACACAUUCCUAGUGACCUUCUUCCCAACUUUGGGUUUCCACCAAUUCACAAGAACACCAUUAAUUAUGAAUUCAUCAACAAAUCAAUUCAUCAAUUAAGUUAAAGCUCCCAUGAUGCAAUCACUUCCCUACAUCCUCCCGUCUGAACAUCCUC